ensembl:lncRNA
CACAAAUAUUAGGAGUGAGAAAUAUGCAAUGUCUCACAAUAAGUAGCAGGUCCAAUUAGAGAGGAAUUUCCGUGCAGAUUAUCGAGUGCUGCUGCUCCAAACCAGAACAGAGAGGUUGACCUGCGCCGCCCCCCCCUCUUCCCACUCUUCCAAUCUAGUUUAAGCCUUUAAUCAAAUGGACAUCUGGAUUGCAUUGGAGCCACAGGCUGAGGACAUGACAAUGGCGGCGGACGCUCGCCUCGCCUGAGCUGAGGAAAGAAAGCGGGAGCUGCGUGACAAACUCCUCAGCCCGGCUGACUCCAGAAAGGAAACCAUGAAUCCAGAAGAAGUAAGACAACACCUAAAUGACAGCACAUCCAAUGACAAGUUGUACUCCACGCUCCCAAAGUCACGCGACAUCUUAGCCGCAACUCUAUCGCAACGAUUGAUGGGCUGUGAAGAAAACUGUGGGAUGAAAUAUGUGGGACAAUUUAAAUAAAAAAGAACCAAUAUUUCCCCAUAUUUUAUCUUUGUUUGCAUCCUCUCUGCAUGCUGGGGCAGUGCAUUGAGCAGUUAACAGGUUUUGCAAUGUUUCCACCAAAAAUAGAACACCCGAACACCAAUUCUUCUAACUAUUCACUGUGAAACCAAUUAUCUAUUAUGAAUCUAUUAUGACACUUUGGGGGUUUUCUCAUCCGUCCUGAGCGAAAGAGAAAAUCCCCCAUAGAGGUAAAGUACGACGCAGAUAUUCCUUAUUAUGAUUGAUGAAUACCACUCAGGUUUCAUUUUGUUUUCACAGUCACGGGUGGACUCGGUUUGAGACCAUCAUUUCCG